CAAAGUAAAAACAAAAUUAUUAAAAUGGUUAAUAUUUGUAAAUAAAAUAUCCCCUGGAGUCAUAUAGCCCUUAGAAAUAAUUUCAAUUUAAAUAAAUGUCCUAUUAAAAAAUACAUAAAUGUAUUAAAGAAAAAAUAAUACACAGUCCACCAAAUAAUGUGGUUAACUAUUGUAGUAUGAAAUAUCAAAACAAUAUGUCUAACAAAUUCGUUAAAAUUCUGAACAAUAAUACAAAUGAUGUAAGAAUCGCU